AAGUCGUAACAAGGUUUCCGUAGGUGAACCUGCGGAAGGAUCAUUAAUGAGUCUUUGAAGUGGGUUUGAUGCUGGUCUUUCGAGGCAUGUGCUCGCCCUAUUCUCAUCCACUCACACCUGUGCACCUUACGUUUAAGACGUGGUUGUUGCCUCCCUUCGGGUUGGCAGGUUAGGGAAACCUAGCUAUGGCCCUUCUUUGCGUUACUUUACACAAACUCUUGAAUGUCAUAGAAUGUAUAUUGGCCUACGGGCUUUAAUUUAAAUACAACUUUCAACAACGGAUCUCUUGGCUCUC
rnacentral:misc_RNA from 1 species